GCGCGGGUGUCAAGCACUGUGCGCGUGGACAUGUGUGCCCAGUGGCUACGAGGCAUGCACACAACGCGCACGUCUCCUUAGCAUGCACGCACCUACGAAGCCUAUAUGGUUCGAAGUGUAUCUGUAUUGACAUGCAUAUCGCAUCAAGUAUCUCAUUAGGCUUUUUAUCUCUAAGAGGUAUCUACUCCUCUUGCCCUUC
rnacentral:lncRNA from 1 species